CUGGUACACCAAAGAAGCGUCCACCUCCUACUUUUGGCCUCAUCGAAUGUAAACCCUCUACCAAAAAAAACACGACCGAAGGUCCAAAAUCGACCUCCAGAGCAAAAAUGUCGAAACGGGACUUGCGAGACUCUUCCGUGCCGUACACACUUCUCCAUCCAAACCCUAAUCAACAAAACGUCAUAGUGUUACCUGUCUAUUACCACCGUCCUAACCAAAUCAACUGUUGUAUCCGCCGUUGCCUCACUUUCACCGGCAUCGUCCUCCUCCUCUCAACCGCUGUAUUCUUCCUCUACCCUUCCGAUCCAACUCUCCAACUCGCCCGACUUCAACUCAACCACGUGGAAGUGAUCUCGUCGCCCAAACUCACUCUAGACCUCUCUUUUUCUUUGACCAUCAGGGUCCGUAACAGGGACUUCUUCUCUUUGGACUAUGAAAAGCUUGAUGUUUCGGUUGGGUAUAGAGGGAGGGAGCUUGGGGUGGUGAGUUCGGAAGGAGGGCGGGUGAGAGCCCGAGGGAGCUCGUACGUGAACGCCACGCUAGAUUUGGAUGGGUUUGAGGUUGUUCACGAUGUGAUUUAUUUGAUCGCGGAUUUGGCUAGAGGGGUUAUUCCCUUUGAUACUAAUACUAAGGUUGAUGGAGUUCUUGGUCUUUUCUUCUUUAAUAUCCCCCUCAAGGAAGGGAGGUUCUGUAGGUUGGUGAUUGAGAUGGCUAAUUCCUGACAGCUAAGCUAUGGAGAUGUGUGAAGGCAGAAGUAUCAUGUGAGGUGUAUGUAAAUACAAAUAACCAGACAAUUGUUCGUCAGGACUGCUAUGCCGAGUAAAGUGGUGGACAGCUCCAAUAUACCAGUUUGGCCAAUUGAUGUAGUGGAAGCCAGUAACAGACUUGGAUAGUUUGGUGAUUCUGUUCUUCCUUGAUUAUACUGUACAUGUUAAUGUAAGUGAUCAAACAUCAUAGUUCAGUUAGUUGGUGCAUAUAACUAGCAGUUAUAAACCCAUGAUUGGAUUAAAAUGAUAUAUUCAACUAAGGAUUUUUUCUGUAUCUUUCUUUAUAUAAUGAUUGUUACAUGGACUUGAGUUUCUAUGAGAAAUGAACACCAAAUUGAAUUUACAUAAGAGGGAGAGGAAGGACGGGGCAAGGAGGUUAAAGAAGAGAAGGUCGGGAGUUGAGGCGUAGGGCAUGGGAAAAAGCAAAAAUAGGGCAAGAAACCGAUUUGGGAGCAUUUCUAUAAGUUUGCAGGAUUAACCAAUCAAUCUUUAUAAAUUUUGUUUGUAGAUGAGGGAACGCCGGUUAUGAAUCAGUUAAAAUCAUUUGGUUCCUUUGUACAACUUAUUUUAGACCUUGAGCUAAAACUACCGGUCAUUUCUUGCUAACAAAUCGACCACCCCCACACAUACUCGGCAUAGUGGUGCGGUCAUUUCUGGCUCUGAAGAAUCGACCACCCCACACGUAUUCAGCAUGGUGGUGCCUACAGCGAAAUGACUUCGAAGGUGAACACAGACACUGCUUCAUCAUCGAACCAGCUCCACCAAUCUCUUUAGCCGCCUCAGUUCUUGGUACAUGAUGGGCUGCAGCCAUCAUUGACGCCAGCAAAACCAACCAUCUGCACUCACCGCCAGCCCCUGUUUGCCAGCGGAAGUAACUGUUGCAUAGCACAUUAUUCCUUUCUUCUUUUUUGCCCUUCUCUCCCUUCUGUCUUCCACUCUGGGUAUUAGUAUGUUGCUGUAUGACAGAGCUUGAAAAGCAAGGAAUAUGUGUUCUGGUGAGAUUAUAUAAGCGAAGGAUAGUAAGGAAUAAGGAGAGGUGGGCAAGUAAAACUUCGACUGGGUUUGGGAAGUAUCAGCUGUUCAUUUGCCUUCUUUACCAAAACAUGGCCUAAUAAACCGAUACUCGCCCACCAUGAUUCCAGUUCAAAAGCAGGUGCUGCCAUGCUCUUUUAUGUUAAACGUGGCAGCAUCUCAAAUGCUCAGUGGACAGAGCACAAAAGUUUUUUUUUUUUUUUUGGGUGCCCAAGGAGCAGCUAAGGAAAAGUUGAAAUCUGAGUGUGGAAAUGCAAAAUGAAGAGAUCAGUUUUUAGUUAGACACUUUUUGAAACCUGUCCGAUAAAUGCUUACUUUCAGUAAAGGUGCGCAUGUUUUCCCAAGGGGGAUAAGGUUCAGUUGGGCAGAAGCUGAAAAUUAAAUCAGGGUUGGCUUUGCAGGGGUACCAUAUUCUGAAGUUGGGGAAAAAAAAUAGGACAAUGGUUGAGCUGAUGCUGACGCUUUUCCUGGUCCUAUCCUCGUCAAAAGUACAUUUCUUAUUGGAUUCUAGCAAAGGACAAGACCUUUUGCCAAUUUGCCAUCAUACUAGAGAAAAAAAAAAGCGUGAAAUUGGGUAAACUAGUACUGUCGCCAGUAGGUUCUUUUUGGCACCUUACCAGAAAAAAAAAAGAUACUAGGUUGGUUUUUGACAGUAGCUUAUCUAAUGGACAAGGCAAUCACUUCAGAAGAA